rnacentral:rRNA from 1 species
GAUGAACGCUAGCUACAGGCUUAACACAUGCAAGUCGCGGGGCAGCAUGGGGGUUGCUUGCAAUCCCCGAUGGCGACCGGCGCACGGGUGAGUAACGCGUAUCCAACCUGCCCUUCACCACGGGAUAACCCGGCGAAAGUCGGACUAAUACCGUAUGUUGUCCAUUGACGGCAUCCGAUUUGGACGAAAGGUUUGGCGGUGAGGGAUGGGGAUGCGUCCGAUUAGCUGGACGGCGGGGUGACGGCCCACCGUGGCGACGAUCGGUAGGGGUUCUGAGAGGAAGGUCCCCCACACUGGAACUGAGACACGGUCCAGACUCCUACGGGAGGCAGCAGUGAGGAAUAUUGGUCAAUGGGCGUAAGCCUGAACCAGCCAAGUAGCGUGCAGGAUGACGGCCCUAUGGGCUGUAAACUGCUUUUAUGCGGGGAUAAAGUGGCCCACGUGUGGGUUUUUGCAGGUACCGCAUGAAUAAGGACCGGCUAAUUCCGUG